rnacentral:rRNA from 1 species
CGUCUAUAUACGUAUAGCAUAUCAAUAAGCGGAGGAAAAGAAACUAACAAGGAUUCCCUUAGUAACGGCGAGUGAAGCGGGAAGAGCUCAAAUUUGAAAUCUUCAAGGUUCUACCUUGACGAAUUGUAGUUUAUAGAAGUGUUUUCUGUUAGUAGAGUGGCAAAAGUUCUUUGGAAUAGGACAUCAUAGAGGGUGAGAAUCCCGUAUUUGGUCAUUCCUUCCUAGCGUUGUGAUACACUUUCAACGAGUCGGAUUGUUUGGGAAUGCAGUCCAAAAUGGGUGGUAAAUUUCAUCUAAAGCUAAAUAUUGGCGAGAGACCGAUAGCGAACAAGUACCGUGAGGGAAAGAUGAAAAGAACUUUGAAAAGAGAGUUAAACAGUACGUGAAAUUGUCAAAAGGGAAGCGUUUGACACCAGUGUUGUUUUUCCGAAAAUCAAUUACGAAUGUUUUAUUUUUGAGGAAGUUAUGACUUCAUCGGCUUGCCCUUCUCUCUUUAUCGAAACUUUCUUAAUGCACUUUUCGGUUAACAAGUCAACAUCAAUUUCUUUUGUUGUAAAAGGGUAUGAGGAAGGUGGCUUUCUUUUCGGAGAAAGUGUUUAUAGUCUUGUAGCCUCUGCAAUCGGAGAGACUGAGGUCUGCAGCGUAGAUCCUUCGGGGUUAGAUACAGUUUGUGCUAAGUUAUAGCUUUUCAUAGACAACUUGUUGACUAUGUUAGUCUUGUAGCUUACUCGCUUAUGCUAUUUUACCUACGCUUAGGAUGUUGACGAGACUGUCGAUCUC